CAAACUUUGCUUUUAUUCUAAACUAUUCCUUUUUACCAUUUUCAACCAUUCCAAGCUUGAUUUCUUCAAUUUCUUCUAUGUAAGAUAGGUAAGAAAAAGUACAUCAAGAAUUUUUACUAUACCUAAUAAAAUAUAAGUAUAAAAUUAUGUUAGAUUAGUUAUAUUAAUAUUUGUGUGAUUAACUUAUUUAUGAAUUUGUUAAUAUUUAAUAUAAAAUUAAUUAGAUAAAAGUGUUGAUAUCAAUUGAAUUUCCAUUACAAAGUGAUUUGAGUAGUGUAUUGAAACUAUGGAAAAAGGGACUAAAUUGUAAGUGUACAAAUUUGAUAUGUGAAUUAGAUAUCAUGUUUGAGUACUUAAAUGAAGUGAUAUAUGAUAGUUUAUUAAAUAUAAAGUGAUCUUGAAGUGUUAUAAAAGUGGUAAGGAAUUUCAUGAUGAUGAAGACUUAUAAAGAACAUAAAAAGUUUAUAAGUGGCAGAGACAAUGAGAUCUCAAUAUCCCUACCUCUUUUCAAGUAAAUUUUAAAGACGAAAUUUCUUAAGAGGGAGAAUUGUAACGACCUAAUUUUUAAUGGUGUUGAAUAAUGCGAUUUCGAAACCUCAUUUUCGUAAACCGAGUUCGUAAAAAUAAAAUAGUAAUAUUUACAGAGUUAUUAUGAAAAUAUAAUAAAGAUUUGUAAUAGGCCCAAUUCGCCCGGCCCAUUAUAAACCAAAAAUAAUAAAUAUAAAAAACAAAAGAAAAUAAAUGGCCCAAAAUUAGUCAAAGUCCAAUUUUUUUUUACAAAUAAUAAAAUAACCCAAUUAACCCAAAUAAAUCCUCAAACCCAAUAAAAAUAUAAAACCCAAUUAGCCCAAAUAACCCAUUACCCCAAGCCCAAAACACUAAGGAUUUUUUCGGCAGAAACCCUAGAAGUUUCAGCCACCGCAGCCUCUAGUCGAUUCUUCCACUCGUGCCAUGCUCCACGAACGACUCCUCCACGCCAUACACACCUGCAACAGAAAAUAACCACAAGCAAUGGACAGCAAAUGAGAUGAAAUUUGUAUUUUUUAUUUUAUUUAUUUAUUUUUGUUUUUCGGCUAUAAAACCGAGAAAAAACGGUGUAAAUGGUUUUUUUUUCUUUUUUCUUCUUGUCACAAAUAGCAGAGAAAUAUAUGCAGAUACUAAAAAUCCAUUCGAAAUUAGCUUUAAGGUAAUUUUAGAUUGUAUUCUUCUUUGAUUUUCAUUUCUGUUUCGUCAUUCUUUAUCUAUUGCAUGAAAAUAAAUUUAUAAGAAAGAAAAGAAAGAAAGAAGACUUAUCUGUUGUUGAAGGAGGCUUUGAACUCCUUGUUUGCUUCGUCGAAACUGAAAUCAAGGCGAAGAUUUUGAAGCCUAUGAGUAAGGCUUUCAGAUUUGUGGUCGAACGGGACUAAACUUGGCCCUUGUUUCAUGGCCGUUGGCUGAAUAUGGAGGCAAAGCAGCAGUGGAAAGGUCUCUUAGGUUCGGCCAAGUAAAUAGGGAAUAGGUUUUAGGGUAUUCUUUUUUUAUUUUAAUUGGCAUUUAAAUAGCUGCAUAUUGAAUUUUAGUUUUUUAGAAUUGAUUGUAUGCAGAAUUCAAAACGGUGACAUAAGCUGGAUCCACGCUUUGGUGCUUCAGAUGGUUAAUUUGCGCAUAUAGUCCUUUUCUUUCGCAUUGACUUUUUAAUUAGUCCUUAUUCACAUUUUAUUUGUUUUAAAUUUCUCCUUAGAAUUUGCGCGGCAUUUCAGUUUAGCCCGAAUUUAAACAUUGUGCUUUGAGACUCGGUAUAUUUCCAGUUUCGAUCCCUGCACAUUCUCGCACAUUGCAUUGUAGUUCUUUUUUUGAUUUCAAUAGUUUAAGUUAUUAAUUAUCCCUUUCAUUUUAA
rnacentral:lncRNA from 1 species